AAGAUCGAGUUACAGGAACACCAUUGAAAGGAGAAGGUUCUGGCAAAUUGAGUUUUUUUGGGGUUGAUUAAUGAACUGAUUGUCACAAGACAAGAAGAACAACAACAUCAACAAGAAUAAGAUGACGCUUAACAUUCGUCGUGAAUCUUCCAAGCUAUGGAAGAGAAUUUGCUCUGCGAUAACGACGGAGAUUGGUCUUCUUGCUGAGAACUUGAGAUAUCUUCUGGCUGGUCCUAUCCAUCAGGAUUCCAAGCAAAUCU